GUACCUUUCUUGCUGAUCCCUUUCGCUUUAUGGCGUGCUCAUUUGGGUUGGGCGUCGGCUAAGAGUGCUCGAAGCGUGGAUUAACUCCAGUCUCCAAUCAGGUAAUUUCCAGCCUUAGAUGGAUUGGGGUUGCGAGGGGCUCGGAGGAAGCCACACACACUGUUUAUGUUAUAGUUUUGAUUAUUGCUUUUAAAUGUUUUUAUGUGGGUUGUAGUAAAGCCGUUGUAAUUUUCUGGAUUUCAAAUUUGGAAUUUUAUUUAUUGUUCUUAUAA